GAGGUAAAAGGCAGUUUACAUCUCCAGUGACAGGCAUCUCUCGCUGUCUUCGUGUGUGUGUGUGUGUGUGUGUGUGUGUGUGUGUGUGUGUGUGUGUGUGUGUGUGUGU